rnacentral:rRNA from 1 species
ACAUGCAAGUCGAACGGCAGCAUGAUCUAGCUUGCUAGAUUGAUGGCGAGUGGCGAACGGGUGAGUAAUACAUCGGAACGUGCCCUGUAGUGGGGGAUAACUAGUCGAAAGAUUAGCUAAUACCGCAUACGACCUGAGGGUGAAAGUGGGGGACCGCAAGGCCUCAUGCUAUAGGAGCGGCCGAUGUCUGAUUAGCUAGUUGGUGAGGUAAAGGCUCACCAAGGCGACGAUCAGUAGCUGGUCUGAGAGGACGAUCAGCCACACUGGGACUGAGACACGGCCCAGACUCCUACGGGAGGCAGCAGUGGGGAAUUUUGGACAAUGGGGGCAACCCUGAUCCAGCAAUGCCGCGUGUGUGAAGAAGGCCUUCGGGUUGUAAAGCACUUUUGUCCGGAAAGAAAUCGCACUUACUAAUAUUAGGUGUGGAUGACGGUACCGGAAGAAUAAGGACCGGCUAACUACGUGCCAGCAGCCGCGGUAAUACGUAGGGUCCAAGCGUUAAUCGGAAUUACUGGGCGUAAAGCGUGCGCAGGCGGUUGUGCAAGACCGAUGUGAAAUCCCCGUGCUUAACCUGGGAAUUGCAUUGGUGACUGCACGGCUAGAGUGUGUCAGAGGGGGGUAGAAUUCCACGUGUAGCAGUGAAAUGCGUAGAGAUGUGGAGGAAUACCGAUGGCGAUGCAGCCCCCUGGGAUAACACUGACGCUCAUGCACGAAAGCGUGGGGAGCAANCAGGAUUAGAUACCUGGUAGUCCACGCCCUAAACGAUGUCAACUAGUUGUUGGGGAUUCAUUUCCUUAGUAACGUAGCUAACGCGUGAAGUUGACCGCCUGGGGAGUACGGUCGCAAGAUUAAAACUCAAAGGAAUUGACGGGGACCCGCACAAGCGGUGGAUGAUGUGGAUUAAUUCGAUGCAACGCGAAAAACCUUACCUACCCUUGACAUGCCACUAACGAAGCAGAGAUGCAUUAGGUGCUCGAAAGAGAAAGUGGACACAGGUGCUGCAUGGCUGUCGUCAGCUCGUGUCGUGAGAUGUUGGGUUAAGUCCCGCAACGAGCGCAACCCUUGUCUCUAGUUGCUACGAAAGGGCACUCUAGAGAGACUGCCGGUGACAAACCGGAGGAAGGUGGGGAUGACGUCAAGUCCUCAUGGCCCUUAUGGGUAGGGCUUCACACGUCAUACAAUGGUGCAUACAGAGGGUUGCCAAGCCGCGAGGUGGAGCUAAUCCCAGAAAAUGCAUCGUAGUCCGGAUCGUAGUCUGCAACUCGACUACGUGAAGCUGGAAUCGCUAGUAAUCGCGGAUCAGCAUGCCGCGGUGAAUACGUUCCCGGGUCUUGUACACACCGCCCGUCACACCAUGGGAGUGGGUUUUGCCAGAAGUAGUUAGCCUAACCGCAAGGGGGGCGAUUACCACGGCAGGGUUCAUGACUGGGGUGAAGUCGU